GACGAACGCUGGCGGCGUGCCUAAUACAUGCAAGUCGAACGCAGUGGGGACGGGUGAGUAACACGUGGGUAACCUCCCAUCAGAGGGGAUAACACUUGGAAACAGGUGCUAAACCGAUACUGAUGGAUGGACCCGCGGUGCAUUGCCUAGUGGGUGAGGUAACGGCUCACCAAGGCCACGAUGCAUAGCCUGCCGGUGAGGGUGAUCGGCCACACGUGGACUGGUACACGGCCCAGAUUCCUACUGGAGGCAGCAGUAGGUAAUCUUCGGCAAUGGACGAAAGUCUGACCGAGCAACGCCGCGUGAGUAAAGAAGGUUUUCGAAUCGUAAAACUCUGUUGUUAGAGAAGCGGUAUCUAACCAGAAAGCCACGGCUAACUACGUGCCAGCCGCCGCGGUAAUAC
rnacentral:rRNA from 1 species